GACGAACGCUGGCGGCGUGCCUAAUACAUGCGAGUUGAGCGCUGAAGGUUGGUACUUGUACCAACUGGAUGAGCAGCGAACGGGUGAGUAACGCGUGGGGAAUCUGCCUUUGAGCGGGGGACAACAUUUGGAAACGAAUGCUAAUACCGCAUAAAAACUUUAAACACAAGUUUUAAGUUUGAAAGAUGCAAUUGCAUCACUCAAAGAUGAUCCCGCGUUGUAUUAGCUAGUUGGUGAGGUAAAGGCUCACCAAGGCGAUGAUACAUAGCCGACCUGAGAGGGUGGUCGGCCACAAUGGGACUGAGGAACGGCCCAACAUCCUACGGGAGGCAGCAGGAGGGAAACUUCGGCCAUGGGCGAAAGUCUGACCGAGCAACGCCGCGUGAGUGAAGAAGGUUUUCGGAUCGUAAAACUAUGUUGGUAGAGAAGAACGUUGGUGAGAGUGGAAAGCUCAUCAAGUGACGGUAACUACACAGAAAGGGACGGCUAACUACGUG
rnacentral:rRNA from 1 species